UUUUCAUAAUUCCUCUUUUCUCGUACUUUUCAGAAGUUCAGUACAUUCUGUUCUCGUGUUUGCGUGACCUAAGAGAGUGGAUUUUCUUCUCUUCUUCUUUGCAUCAUCCCUCAUUUUUGGUCUUUUAACCUCCCAUCUUUUAUAUUUUUCGCAUUUGAGAGUUUAUGUUUCUAGAGAGCCAUCCUUGGAUUUCGCACAGAGGAAGAAAAUCGAAGAGGAGAGUAGAGGGUGUGGCGACUUCGUCUGAGUCGGAAGGGCUUCCCAUAGUGGCCGGUGUUGUCGGCGACAACUUCGUCUGAGCAAGGAAGAUGUGACCACAGGCGAGGAGGGCUGGUGCUUCACGGGAGCGAGUGCUUCACUGGUUUUGCUGAUUUGUAUUCAAACAUCCAGUGAUGCAAACACUUUGCCAUCUCUGCUAAAAUACCUGAAUUCACCAACAAGAACAAAACAGUGGUCCUCCAACAUUCUGUAAAAUUUGAAAAGGAGAUUGAGUGUGGUGGAGGGUACAUUAAGUUUCUCUAUGGAUUUGUUAAUCAAAAGAAGUUUGGUGGGGAUACACCUUACAUAAUUAUAAUCCUGGAGUCAAUUUCAGUAAAGAGAGUGGAAUUGUUUUCAUUCCAGGAAGAGAUCAAUUUGGAGAGUAUGUUCCCUUGCACCCUAGGUGGGUAACUUAGAAACACAGGUCUAGCUAAGGGUGAUGUUGCUGGAAUAUCCAUAGCAGGAAUAUGCAGUCUUCUAUUAUUAGUAAUCUGCAUAUAUGUUAAAUUCUUUAAGAAGAUGGAAGGAGAGAAACCUAAAUUGCCAACAAAAAAUUCUAUGGCGUUUUCAACUCAAGAUGCCUCUGAAAGUGCAGAAUAUGAAACUUCAGGAUCCAAUGGGACUACUACUGCUGCUGGCAUUACAAGAAUUAUGGUGGCAAAAUCAAUGGAGUUUGCAAACUAAUCACCCAAGGGAGCCUCGCGAACCCAACAUAUCAUGCAUGACCUUAGGAGUGCACGAAUAUGUUCUAUUUUUUGCUCGAUUGCUUCUUGGCAAAGAGGUCAAGAGUAAAAAAAAGAAAGAAGAAGUUAUGAACUUUGUUGAGCCACAAGGUAUCUGGUCAAGGAAAUGUUUGUAAUAUCAAGUACCGCAUUAGAAGGAUGUUAUUUAAUUUUUCAUUAUGUUUAUUUUUCUUAUUUAAAACAAAUAACAUUGUAAUGACUUGUUAAUUUUAACUUUUACACUUUGUCAUAUUGUAAACUUUGUUCAUUGUCCCUUUU